UACAGACGGUCCAAACGUUGUUCGGAAUCACUGGGCUUAAAGAGUUCGUAGGCGGUCAGGAAAGUGGGGUGUGAAAGCCCUCGGCUUAACCGAGGAAUUGCGCUCCAAACUCCCUGACUUGAGGAGGCUAGAGGUAAGCGGAACUGAUGGUGGAGCGGUGAAAUGCGUUGAUAUCAUCAGGAACACCGGAGGCGAAGGCGGCUUACUGGGGCCUUUCUGACGCUGAGGAACGAAAGCUAGGGGAGCGAACGGG
rnacentral:rRNA from 1 species